rnacentral:rRNA from 1 species
CUUGCUCUGUGCUGACGAGUGGCGGACGGGUGCGUAACGCGUGGAAAUCUACCUAUAAGCUGGGGAUAAGCUUUUGGAAACAGAGUCUAAUACCGAAUAAGUUCUACGGAAUAAAGAUUGCGCUUCUUAGGAAGCAGUCACUUAUAGAUGAGUCUGCGUUGGAUUAGCUAGUUGGUGGGGUAAAGGCCUACCAAGGCGACGAUCCAUAGCUGGUUUGAGAGGAUGAUCAGCCACACUGGGACUGAGACACGGCCCAGACUCC